rnacentral:rRNA from 1 species
CACGUAGGGGACGAGCGUUGUCCGGAUUCAUUGGGCGUAAAGCGCGCGUAGGCGGCUCGGAAAGUCGGUCGUGAAAUGCCGGGGCUCAACCCCGGGACUGCGUCCGAUACUCUCGAGCUGGAGGCAGGUAGGGGAGAUCGGAAUUCCUGGUGUAGCGGUGAAAUGCGCAGAUAUCAGGAGGAACACCGGUGGCGAAGGCGGGUCUCUGGGCCGAUACUGACACUGAGGAGCGAAAGCGUGGGGAGCGAACAGG